rnacentral:rRNA from 1 species
CAGCCGCCGCGGGAAUACAGAGGGUGCGAGCGUUAAUCGGAUUUACUGGGCGUAAAGCGUGCGUAGGCAGCUUUUUAAGUCGGAUGUGAAAUCCCUGAGCUUAACUUAGGAAUUGCAUUCGAUACUGGGAAGCUAGAGUAUGGGAGAGGAUGGUAGAAUUCCAGGUGUAGCGGUGAAAUGCGUAGAGAUCUGGAGGAAUACCGAUGGCGAAGGCAGCCAUCUGGCCUAAUACUGACGCUGAGGUACGAAAGCAUGGGGAGCAAACAGGAUUAGAUACCCGCGUAGUCCCUGUCUCUUAUAC